CCACCUCCGAUCUCCACGUCCGCCGAAAAGAGACGGGCGAAAAGAGACGGCGAGGAACGAAAGAAAGAAAACCCUAGCCUUAGUUUUUCUCUUUCUCCCCAGAUUUCUCGAAGGGUUUCGAAGCUUCUUGAGGUUUCUUGCCCUGUGAUCUUGCGUUGAGAGCUACUGAUGGAGAGCUCGGAUGAGGCGAAGGCAUCAGAGAAGGAAUGCGUCAAGGUUGCCGUUAACAUCCGGCCUUUGAUCACCACGGAGCUCCUCAUGGGGUGCACUGAUUGUGUCACCGUUGUUCCUGGGGAGCCUCAGGUGCCAAUUUUGGGAUAAAGGGGUGAAUAGCAGAGAGAAGGAGUAAGCUAAGGGAAAAGGUGGUUAGACUUAAUAACCUGGAAAAACAGUUGGAAGCACAAAUUGUGGAACUGCAUAAGCAAAACCAGCAGAAAUCUUCUUCGAAUAGAAAUUCUAAGGGAUCUGCUGGAAGUUUUUGGGGCCCAUAUCUGGCUCUGGAGAAGAUGGGCAUGCCUAUGCUCUGUGCAAGGGUCCACAAACUUCCCAGUUGUUCAACCGAGCUAGUAAUACUCUAGAUUUGUUGGACGACAUGGACAUAUCUGAUACUGAGGAGUCAGAUGAAUUUGAAUCUGACUUGGGUGAUGAAGAUUGGGUAGAAUCUGGAAAGAAGAUGGUGAAAAAGUGUUCUAAAGCAGCUCGAAAAAAGAAGUUCCACUUGAAAGAUGCUCAUUCUCUGGAAAAUUCGAAAUCAGAUAUAUCUAGAGAGGAUGGAAAACCUAAAGUUUAAAAGAAUAGGUUGGAUCAGUGUUGCUCUUGUUCACAGAUCUCAUUCUGUAAAACUAAGAAAUGCGAAUGCCGAGCUGCUGGUAGUCCAUGCACCACUUCUUGUGGGUGCAUACCUUCAAGAUGCAGUAACAGAGAAGGUGGUGUCGUUAAGAAUGAGUUGGAAGAAGCAUACCUUGCAGACGGAACAGAGAAUGAUGGAAGUCAUUCUUCAUUAAAUCAUCUUGAUAAGAAGAGCAGAGGACUGGUUUCUAAUGGAGCCAUGCUGCUUCAGAGUGCUCUGAGCGAGUGGUUAGCCAAAUAAAAUCAAGAUAUGCAGCCAAGAAAGCCCCCGUCUGAUAUUGCGAAUACCGUGGUUCAUAAAAAUGUGUCUCAGCAAAGCCGGAGGAAGAAAUGGCGCAAGUCAACAAUUCAGCUCAUUCCAUCCGAACCUUUUCCAUCCCCCAUGCCAGAAAGCAAUGAAGCUCCUAGGACUAGGGUUGAUGUUCCCCUUAGACUACCACGAGCAAUGGAUUCUGUGCUCUUGGUUGACAACCCUCCCCUUACAGAUCCGGAUUCUGUGAAUGAUGAUGGGUCUGUGGGUAGCAACAAGGAUGGUAGGGGCAACAUUCCUUCAAGAUCGCUGGUCCGGUUGCAGAAGGCAGCAGAUGAGAGAGAUCCAUAUGAUCUAAUUAUCCUAUCAUUUCUUCCCCCUAACCGUCUGGUUAGUUUCUGCUGAGUUAUCCGCUGUUGCAAAUGAUAUUGUUGUGUGCUGUACCCAUGCUCAGUGGCAAUGGAUGCAUCGGAUGAACUCUCCUUGGAGAAUGCAUGAGGGAGAAAGCUGGCCUUUUUCAUUGGAAGCCAUAGUGAGGAUUAAUCUGGGAUCUGGAACUGCUUCGCAAGUAUUCUCCGGUGAAGCCUUGUAAUCAAAAUAUCUUUGAUGGGAGUAGAAAAGGUUGGAUCCUUAUGCGAUGUAUUCAUCCAGAAAAUCGGUUGUUUCUUUUGACAAUUAUUUUGAUUA